UGUGAUCCUUCCAUUUUUAUGGUUGAACCUCCUAUGAUGAAAAACAAAAGAAAAACUAAAUAAAAAGUUUGUAGAAAACAAAAGGUCAAAAUUCUAUUUACCUUGUUGUCAUUUUGUUGACCCUGAGGAGGC